rnacentral:rRNA from 1 species
GUAACGCUGGCGGCGUGCUUACACAUGCAGUCGAACGAACCUUCGGGUUAGUGGCGGACGGGUGAGUAACGCGUGAGAAUCUGCCCUCAGGAGGGGGACAACAGUUGGAAACGACUGCUAAUACCCCAUAUGCCGCGAGGUGAAAUGAAUUUCGCCUGAGGAUGAGCUCGCGUCUUGAUUAAGCUAGUUGGUGUAGGUAAUGGCUCACCAAGGCACAUCGAUCAGUAGACUGGUCUGAGAGGAUGAUCAGCACACUGGGACUGAGACACGGCCCAGACUCCUACGGGAGGCAGCAGUGGGGAAUUUUCCGCAAUGGGCGAAAGCCUGACGGAGCAACGCCGCGUGAGGGAUGAAGGCCUCUGGGCUGUAAACCUCUUUUAUCAAGGAAGAAGAUCUGACGGUACUUGAUGAAUAAGCCACGGCUAAUUCCGUGCCAGCAGCCGCGGUAAUACGGGAGUGGCAAGCGUUAUCCGGAAUUAUUGGGCGUAAAGCGUCCAGCACGCGGCCUUCAAAGUCUG